GAUGAACGCUGGCGGCGUGCCUAAUACAUGCAAGUCGAGCGAACAGACGAGGAGCUUGCUCCUCUGACGUUAGCGGCGGACGGGUGAGUAACACGUGGAUACCCUACCUAUAAGACUGGGAUAACUUCGGGAAACCGGAGCUAAUACCGGAUAAUAUAUUGAACCGCAUGGUUCAAUAGUGAAAGACGGUUUUGCUGUCACUACUAGAUGGAUCCGCGCCGCAUUAGCUAGUUGGUAGGGUAACGGCCUACCAAGGCGAGGAUGCGUAGCCGAACUGAGAGGGUGAUCGGCCACCCUGGAGCUGAGACACGGUCCAGACUCCUACGGGAGGCAGCAGUAGGGAAUCUUCCGCAAUGGGCGAAAGCUUGACGGAGCAACGCCGCGUGAGUGAUGAAGGUCUUCGGAUCGUAAAACUCUGUUAUUAGGGAAGAACAAAUGUGUAAGUAACUAUGCACGUCUUGACGGUACCUAAUCAGAAAGCCACGGCUAACUACGUG
rnacentral:rRNA from 1 species